ensembl:lncRNA
CAGGCGGGCGCAGGAGCUGGGCUCUUCCCUGCCCACGGAUCGCAGAGGGACGCCCCGGGCCUGGGGCUCCAGCAGACGGGGCCGGACCCGGGUUGGAGUCACUGGGGAGAGGGAGGGUGCUCCGUGGCUCCUGUGGAGGCUUGGGUUGGGAGGGGGCAUCAGGGCUGUGUCCAGGAGACAUGCGGAAUAAAGUGGAUUUUAUUUAAGCCUGGUCCUGUGUUGGGGGAGGGGGCAUGAGGAGGCGGGUGAGAGCCCUGGCUGCAGAGGAUGCUGGGAUUCCCUUCUGGUGGAUGCAGGAAGGGGCUGGGGAGAAUCGGGACAAUAAGACACUUGUGCAUGAAGAUUUAAGUGGAAAAGUCGAUGCACAGAGACAGUCCCACUCUCUCAGCGUUGGAAGCCUGGGUCCAUUGGCACGAAAAGUCGUUACACCUGGAGACUUCCUCAGCUGCAUUGGAUGGCCUGCUGUCUUUUGUGCUCCAACACGCCCUGAGCACUCCACAGUGCUUUGCUGCGUCGCCCUCUCAGCCGUUGAACCUUCUUAUUGGUUUCUUCAGCCUGUUCUGCAGAAGCAGUCUUCACAUGCUGGGUGAGCAAAGCCCUAGUUCACCAGGGGUCGACGCAUUGGCUACCCUCACAAAGUUUAGCUGGCCUGUCGAAGCCGUUGCCCGGGGUGUGGCUGCUAGCAUGCUAGCAGCUACUGGGAGCCACAAGUGAGAGCUGGGUGUCAGGUGAGGGUCAGAGGCUGGAGAGCUGCCCUAGGAGGGCACGACAAGCCCUCCAUACCAGAGAUACUACCCCUCCCUGAGCACCCCAUACACCCCAUUGCCUUCAGGUACAAAUAUAAAAUGCUGUUUGGCAUUGAAAGCCCUACAAAAAGAGUUACUCCUACCUUUCCAGUCUUCUUACAUCUUAUUGCCCACUAUGUACUCUCCCACCCAGUGGAAAUGGCCUCCUGGCUAUUCAAGAAUAAGAUGCUCCAUUUCUCAACCCUGCCAUUUUCUCUGGCUGUCCCAUAUGCCUAGAAUGCCUUCUCUCUCUCUCUCCUCUCCCGGUACUGACCACCCUGACUUCCUUUAAGUCCUCUAAAUUCACCUUCUCCAGGAAGGUUUCCCCAUCCCUCCUAAUGCCAAGGCCUUCCUUGUUUUCAUUAUUUCUAUUUAUCGGGCAUACUGUUUACUUCAUAUAUGUAUAUAUGAGUUUAUCCCAUUAGAGUGUAAGCUCCCUGAGAGGCAGGGAUUAUUCUUUACCAAAUCUUUUUGCAUCCCUUGCGCUUAAUAAUAUGGUGCCUGGCAUAUAAAAGGUAGGCACUUAUGUUGAUUGAUUGAUUGAGGGCAAAGAUGAGUUGUUGUUUUUUGUCUUUGAAUUCCAAGGAUUAAACAGUGCCUGGCACAUAGUACUUGUUGUUUAGUCGUGCCUGACUCUUUCAUGACCCCAUUUGAGGUUUUCUUGGCAGAGAUACUAGAGAGGUUUGCCAUUUCCUUCUCUACUUCAUUUGACUGAUGGAGAAACUGAGGCAAACUGUGUUAAGUGACUUGCUCUGGGUCAUAAAUCUAGGAAGUGUCUGAUUUCAAGGAAGUGGAGUUUUGCUGA